CUGGUGUACUCCGCUUCUUGCACUUGCUUCUUGAAGUCAGCUGAGAUAGGCGCCAGCACACCCGUUACCCGGGUGAGGAUAAGCGGUUAAGAGAAGGGAUGGAUGGUCACCAUUUGUUAAAGUGGUGCCGAUUGCGAAGUGAGUUGAAUUGAGUUUACUGCCACCAGAAAGCGCUCCUAUGUUAAAUUGACGCUGGCAAGUCAAAGCCAAACGGCCGAAUGAAGGCUCAUAUCUUGCAAAAAAACUCGUGUCGAGUUACUUGUAUCUCAAGGUACACCCACCACCGGACCUCGUAGUCCACCUUUCCGUGGACCUCACCUGGAGCCGAAAUCCUUCCUCUCUACUUCAUCCGGAAGCUGCGACGUGCCGGACUGGGGCGCCAUGUCUUGAGGAGCUUCUACAGAUGUGGUGGAGAGUGUCCUCAGCUUCAGCAUCACGGUGUGGCACAGCAGCUGCUCGGCUGCAGAGAGGAAGGCAUUACAAAGGGAGGUAAAUGGAUCCGCGAGGCCGCCAAGACCCACAAGCUGGUGGAGCAGGACCUGGUUCCACGCCGUCCACGCCAGCGCCACACGGUGCUGACCGAGGCCAAGCUAAUUACCCCUUGAGUGCGAAUGGUUGUAAUUAGGGGGAACGAGGCACAGGUGGGGAAGAUGCUCACAGGAGCAGGUGUGUGUGAAACCGGGGGGAAGGCAAAAACCGGAACACACACACACCCACGACCGAUGGAGCACUAACCCCAAAUGUUGGACUUGAUUUCCCAAACGUACAUGUUUUGUAGGUUUUGGAGAAAUCACUCAAACCAGUGUUGUUAGUUUUCAGUUUUGGAGUCGCAGCACAGCCGUGGAAAUUUCUCCAGGCAGAGACGACCAAAACAUCCGGGAACCUCUCUCGCCACUUGCUGCUGCCACUUUUUGGCCAUCCGAUCUCUCGCGCACCCUUCUUCUCAUCCUCCUCAGUCCGGGUUCCCUGAGGAAGAGGGGCUCCGCUUCACCCUGAACAGCCUGAGUGCUGAGCUCCACAAGCUGGAUGACAUCCACCGGAUCUGUGCCGAGGAGCGGAGUACAGCCAUCUUUUAGAAACGACACGAUCGAAACCGCCUUCAGACUGAAAUGAGACUUUUCGUGGACAUCUUGUUUCUACGCACGCAACCUUCAAUGACACCAGAAGCCGAUGUGCAGAAAUCUUGGACGUUGAACAGAAAAGAAAAACAUUGAAUGUAUUUGUGUGUUGAGCUGAUAAUGAUGUGCACAUCCAAGGUGCUCAAGUGGUUUUGACUUUGUUUGGCUUGUCGUGACCUCACCUAAAGAGGUCAUGGGGGUGGUUCAUGAUCAGCUGACUCUAGAUGUCAUGCACCAAUGUGAAUGUUUGCUUUGCCAGUAGUUCCCAAUUGUUCUUAUCGUCUUGCUCUCGUGGGUUUGCUGUCCAAUCCCCCACCACCCCCAGGUCCCCCCAAAACGAGUAUUAUAGCGACUUAUUGAGUUAGUAUUGCAGCAGAAGAAGUCUAUUCUUCUUCGUUUGUCCACAUGACUAUAUUAUACUGUACAGUACUACCUCCCGGUGACCAAGGUCGGCACACCAGAAUAUCUUAUUUGUACGUCCAAACAGCUCUCUCUGCUGGUCGCUUUACUGACAGUUGAUUCACUUGUAUGUA